GUGGGUCCCUGGAGAGGGUCCCAGCCCCGGACGCCUGGGUUCCCAGGGAGGGUUUUCCCACCCCGACACCUGGGUCCCAUCCCCGGACGCCUGGGUCCCUCUUAUCUCUAUUACGGGGUUGGGGAGGGGUCCCCUGCCUGGACGUCCCCACCUGGAUGCCUGGAUCGCCCGCAGGAUGUCAUCUCCACCACUGUCCCUGGCGGUGGCCUCGGCCACGGCGGCCUCGGGACGGGUGCUGCAGGCACUGGGGGAGCUGGCGGAGGCGCUGGGAACACCGGGAAUGGUGGCAAAGGCGUUGGCAGAGGCGAAGGUGGUGCUGAGGGAGGCGGAGGUGGUGCUGGAGAGGCUGCAGACGGCGCUGGAGGACGCGAUGGCGGCAGCGGCGGCGAUGACGCCGCCAACACUGGGGCUCAAUGCCGAAGGGCUCUACCGGGCUCUGGGGACGGCCGCCGAUGCCAGCGCUUCCGAGCUAGAGCGGGAACUGUGCCGGAAUCGCCGGCGGCGCUGGGGUCUGUGGGUGGCCCGGACUGUUGCCCUGGUGCUGCUGCUUGUCUGUGCCCCCCUGUUGUCCCUGGACGUGGUGCGGGAGGCGCUGGGGGUGACGCAGGAGAGUCACCUCGUCCCCUGCCUGGCCACCAUCGCCCUUGUCAGCCAGGUGGCCCUGUGGGGCGCGGGGACAUCCAAGCGUCACUUGGCCACCGCCGCCAGCCAGCAGCGUCACC
rnacentral:lncRNA from 1 species